GACGAACGCUGGCGGCGUGCUUAACACAUGCAAGUCGAACGGAAAGGCCCUGCUUUUGUGGUGUGCUCGAGUGGCGAACGGGUGAGUAACACGUGAGUAACCUGCCCUUGACUUUGGGAUAACUUCAGGAAACUGGGGCUAAUACCGGAUAGGAGCUCCUGCUGCAUGGUGGGGGUUGGAAAGGUUCGGCGGUUGGGGAUGGACUCGCGGCUUAUCAGCUGGUUGGUGGGGUAGUGGCUUACCAAGGCUUUGACGGGUAGCCUGCCUGAGAGGGUGACCGGCAAACUUGGGACUGAGAUACGGCACAGACUCCUACGGGAGGCAGCAGUGGGGAAUAUUGCACAAUGGGCGGAAGCCUGAUGCAGCAACGCCGCGUGCGGGAUGACGGCCUUCGGGUUGUAAACCGCUUUCGCCUGUGCCGAAGCGUGAGUGACGGUAAUGGGUAAAGAAGCACCGGCUAACUACGUG
rnacentral:rRNA from 1 species